rfam:Pantoea gaviniae strain LMG 25382 Contig0395_, whole genome shotgun sequence.
CGAUGCAUUUGCUGAUGAAUAACUAAAAUCAUAAACACAUUCCUCUUUGACGGGCCGAUAGCAAUAUUGGCCUUUUUUUU